GCAUUGGGAAUAUGGAGUCUCAGCCACUGGACCACUAGAGAAGUACCCCAGUCUCCACAUCUUUGAAAUGGGGAUAAGAAUCCUAUGGUUGUUAGGGUUAAGGGAAAUUGCAUGUGAAGCAUCUAUGAUAAGAAUGGUUUUUCGAGUAUUGGCUGGGUACUGGGCACUCUCCCAUACACAGGUAACCCCCGCUUUUCGAAAGUUUUCAUUACAUUACUUCACUUUUGUGCAAGACCUAUUAGAACCUGUUUCAUUAACUGAAAGAAAUUUGAAGAGUUUUGCUUUUAUGAAAAAAAAGCAAACAAUGAACGUGGCCUUCAGAGUUUGUUUUGCAGGGAGCCAUGCCAGAGGCAUUGCAUAUCCCUGGGAUCGAGGGGCCCCAGCCAGCUCCUUCCCAGAGGGCUACCCUCAGCCUUUCGGCAGCAAGCCACCAUGACUGUCAAGUCUGUGAGCAUCUGUGCUGUAUCUUGAUCCAUUUUUUUGUCUGUUAGAAAGAUGUGUUCUUAGAUAAAUGGCCUCAAGCUCAGAGAGCAAAGACCACACAUCGAAUCAAUGUCAAGGCCUGGACUGAGUGUCAGAGUCACCUGACCCCAAGGUCUGGGCUGUGGCUAUAAUGAGAGCCAGCAUCAGCCUGGGGUAUUAGCAGCCUCUGUGUAUUUCACAGGGGUCACUCUUAAGGGAGAGUUCUCUUCCAGGAUACAAGGAGUUGGGGACAGUCUCGUCCUCUCCCCCUUCCCCUCUCUUUUCUCAAAUCCCUCUGCACAAGGUCACAGGCAACUGAAGGCUCCCUCUGGCCACCCUCAGCACCCCCGUGGGUCUGUCAUCCAUGGAGUCGGGUUUAAUAACCAAGGGGUCCAAGUGUCACAGGGCCCUUACUUUCAGCUUUCCUCAUCUGAAUGGGACCUAGCAAGGUGGAGAUGGCGAGGGCAGGAGAGGGAGAGGAGACUCCUCUCUCUGCACCUCCCCAACCCUGCUUUGGCAUUUUGUGUGCUGGGAAUGAGAAACCUAGCGUUGCUAUGGAAACUGCCAUCCCCUGCUCCCUCUCUCAUUCUCUGUGGGCAGUUCUUGUAUGUAACAUGGAAGUGCAGGGCUCCCUGCUAUCCAGGGGGCUGGAAUUCAGGAGGACCAUCUCUGGGGGUGGGGAUGCAGGAAUGGAUGGGAGCUGACAGAGGGGCCUCCCGCGGUUCUGCUCCCAGGAGGGGUUUCAGGGCCUCCGACCUGAGGGCAGCGUGAGGGGCAGCCAUGGAGCUCAGGCUGCGUCUCUGGAGUGAGCCUGGUAACAAUGCUCAUUCACACUCAUUGCAAAGAAGAGUUCACAAAGUGCAGUCAGCUGGGCUGUUUAGAAAGAGCUUGGGCCCUGCAGUUCCUAAGACUCAGGCUUGAAUACCAGCAUGGGUAACUUCUCCAAGCUUCCAUUCCCCACAUCUGGAAGCUGAGCAACCUCAGAAGUGGUCACAUGGGACCAAGACUGUGCCCCUGUCCCCUGCCU
ensembl:lncRNA